rnacentral:sRNA from 12 species
CUUAGUGAGAGGUAAGAUGCCUUAAACUAUGGCUACACGUCAGUUUAUUAGCACAUUAUUUAGAUUUAUUUUAAGUUAUAAAAUACAGAAGUUUCUUGCGAGGAAUUUCAGUGAAGAAAUUCGUUAUGAAUUUCCCAAUUGGUAAAUUGGCUACAUAAC